GACGAACGCUGGCGGCGUGCUUAACAUAUGCAAGUCGAACGGAAAGGCCCUGCUUUUGUGGGGUGCUCGAGUGGCGAACGGGUGAGUAACACGUGAGUAACCUGCCCUUGACUUUGGGAUAACUUCAGGAAACUGGGGCUAAUACCGGAUAGGAGCUCCUGCUGCAUGGUGGGGGUUGGAAAGUUUCGGCGGUUGGGGAUGGACUCGCGGCUUAUCAGCUUGUUGGUGGGGUAGUGGCUUACCAAGGCUUUGACGGGUAGCCGGCCUGAGAGGGUGACCGGCCACAUUGGGACUGAGAUACGGCCCAGACUCCUACGGGAGGCAGCAGUGGGGAAUAUUGCACAAUGGGCGGAAGCCUGAUGCAGCAACGCCGCGUGCGGGAUGACGGCCUUCGGGUUGUAAACCGCUUUCGCCUGUGACGAAGCGUGAGUGACGGUAAUGGGUAAAGAAGCACGGGCUAACUACGUG
rnacentral:rRNA from 1 species